rnacentral:tRNA from 1 species
GAGCAGGUGGCGAGCUGUAGACUCGUUUACGGGGCAGUGCCCCCCCGAC